AACGAACGCUGGCGGCAUGUCUAACACAUGCAAGUCGAACGAGACCUUCGGGUCUAGUGGCGCACGGGUGCGUAACGCGUGGGAACCUGCCCUUAGGUUCGGAAUAACUCCCCGAAAGGGGUGCUAAUACCGGAUAAUGUCUUCGGACCAAAGAUUUAUCGCCUUUGGAUGGGCCCGCGUUGGAUUAGCUAGUUGGUAGGGUAAAAGCCUACCAAGGCGACGAUCCAUAGCUGGUCUGAGAGGAUGAUCAGCCACACUGGGACUGAGACACGGCCCAGUCUCCUACGGGAGGCAGCAGUGGGGAAUAUUGGACAAUGGGCGAAAGCCUGAUCCAGCAAUGCCGCGUGAGUGAUGAAGGCCUUAGGGUUGUAAAGCUCUUUUAACCGGGAUGAUAAUGACAGUACCGGGAGAAUAAGCUCCGGCUAACUCCGUG
rnacentral:rRNA from 1 species